GAUGGGCGGAUGGAUGGAUGGAGCGGCUGGGUUCCCACCUGGCGCACACCUAAACCAUAAGCCACGGCUUCCCGGUGGCUUAGGAGGGUGGGCUGCCUUCCCGCGGGAGAUGGAGCCAAUCUGGAGCAGCUUUUGCCUGGCCCAUCUGGGCUUGAUCUCCCACGCUCACCUUGGACGGGGGACCACCAGGAGCUCCCAGGCUGUAGGCUAGACUGGGAAGCUGAACAACUUUCCAGAAGAAGGCCAGGGCCAACCGCUUUUGCCCCACUUAAAAGUCAGGCGUCGCAUCUCUCUGCGUACCCACAGUAAGGAAGCAGCGGUGGGAUGGGGAAGGUCUCCCUCUCUUGCUUGCAUCCUCCCCCCCACUGCUGCCCCCUGCUAGACACCCCCCACUGUAAGAAACAAAGCACUAGACCAGGAUGAGGUUGGCGUGGUCCAGCAGGGCUGUCCUUGGGCCCUUAGGAAGAAAUGACAAGAGAAGAGACGCGACCCAAGCAGAGGAAAGCGGUGGAGGGGAGGCCAUGUUCGAAAGCAGGACACCUCCGGGGAGGGCUGGUCCCCCUGAGCUCUGGCUGACUUGGAGCUGAGCUCGACCGAGUUAGAUGCACGACUGUCUGCAUCCGCACGGGUGACUUCCUCUUAGUCCUCAUCUGCACCCCCUUGCCUCCAAAGGGGGCACAGUGAUGGGGAGGGAAGGAGGCAAGGGGGUGCAGAUGAGGUCCUGACUCCAACAAGAUUUAUGCGAGGGCAUCGGUGCUUGUACCACAGGCUUAGCUGGUUACCAAAGAAACCCCCUUCCGGGUUUGUAUGAUACGUGGUGUGACCAACUGCUCAAACGCAGCGGGGUUUGCCCAGUACACAAAAUCACAGAAAGGUGAACUGAGGUUAAAACUAAACCACGCUUAGCACGGGAUGCAAAUGCAGACACUCCGUCUUCGGCAGGUUGUAUCAAUGCAGCCCCUCUGCCUGUUAGUCACAGGGAGGUCAUUUGGGACGGGAAGCGGGGGCGGGAUCCGAUUGAAAGGCCAGCGAAAGAACCGGCUCAGGGCCAAAGCUUCUGCCUUGCUUCCAGAAAGGGCCAGCGCAGCCCUCGACAGGGAAGGGGUCAGGAGGCCUCUGGGUGCACGAAGAGGCCCCACAGCCUCCGGAUCUUGCCUGUGGCUCAUCCCCAGCCCACAACUUAAAUUCGUCCUUCACGCUUCCAGUUGGGUUGUUCCUCUUCUCCUAGCACCGGUCUGGCUGUGGGUACAGUCUGGCCUGCUUCGUUGGCCAUGGGUUAGUGGCACCCUCAGGUGGGGCCUGCUCCUUUCCUAUUGGCCAGCCAAGGCUGCUGCGGGCCCUGUGAGGGAGCGAAGUGGGGGUUGCUGUCUGCACUUGGGAAAAGAUGCUGCAGCCAGGCAGAGAUGCUUCUCACCCCACUUCUCUCAUGCAUUCAUUCGCACAUUCAUGCACAGCUUUACUCACAAGCAUCCAAGCUAGUGUUCCAGCUGCCUGUAACCAUGAGCCCCACCCUGGCAUCUUCAAAGGACCAGGCCGAGGUCCGGAGGCCGCCUCCCCCCACCCAGCAGAUGCCAAGACAGAGUGGAUGAGGAGGUGUGUGUCGAGUGUGCGUGCGUAAGAGGAAAGGAGACAAGCAAACGGCCUGCAGACAGACGGGGAAGCGGAGGUAGCGGAGGUGACGUCUGGAGAUUGGCAGCUGUCACAAGCAGGCAAGAGGGCGAUCGCUCAACUGCCAGGACCACAAGCUACGGUUGCGGAAAGGAACAGCUCACAACAUUUCCACUUGGAAGGCCUGUUGAAAAAGCAAGGUUUGGAUGGCCUUUCUGGAACCCACAGAUCUCGGGGGAGUGGGGAAGCUAUUCGAAAUAAGAGCAGCAAUUAAAAAGUGCCACCUUCAAGAUCCCUGCAAAUGGCCAGUCUCCUAGAGAAAGAACAAGGCCGAGAGAGAGACAUACAGAUGCGGUGAAAAGUAUUGGUCCACUUGUCCCCGAAGAAUCCCAAGAAGGAACCCAUCAAACCUAAGACAACCGAAGCAGUUCGCUCGAGAAGAGUGGGACAAAUUGCCGGUUGAGAAGUGCAGAAGUCUUAUUCAGAACUACAGAAAGUGCCUGAGUGCGGUUAUUGCCUCAAAAGGGUGUACUACGAAAUGUUAGGUUAGGGGUACCAAUAAUUAUGUCCGUGCCAUUUUCAUCUGUUUCAUUAUUUACAAGGGUAUGUUAAAUCCUGUAUCAGAAGCAAAGCCUCUGCUCUAUGGACUAUGGAAUGAAAAAUGGUGGAUGCCAUUGACUUGUGUCAGUU